ACUCCUGCGGGAGGCAGCAGUGGGGAAUUUUGGACAAUGGGCGAAAGCCUGAUCCAGCCAUGCCGCGUGCAGGAUGAAGGCCUUCGGGUUGUAAACUGCUUUUGUACGGAACGAAACGGCCUUUUCUAAUAAAGAGGGCUAAUGACGGUACCGUAAGAAUAAGCACCGGCUAACUACGUGCCAGCAGCCGCGGUAAUACGUAGGGUGCAAGCGUUAAUCGGAAUUACUGGGCGUAAAGCGUGCGCAGGCGGUUAUGUAAGACAGUUGUGAAAUCCCCGGGCUCAACCUGGGAACUGCAUCUGUGACUGCAUAGCUAGAGUACGGUAGAGGGGGAUGGAAUUCCGCGUGUAGCAGUGAAAUGCGUAGAUAUGCGGAGGAACACCGAUGGCGAAGGCAAUCCCCUGGACCUGUACUGACGCUCAUGCACGAAAGCGUGGGGAGCAAACAGGAUUAGAUACCCCUGUAGUCCCA
rnacentral:rRNA from 1 species